rnacentral:rRNA from 1 species
GUGAGGAAUCUUCCACAAUGGGCGAAAGCCUGAUGGAGCAACGCCGCGUGAAGGAUGAAGGUCUUCGGAUUGUAAACUUCUUUUAUGAGUGAAGAAUAUGACGGUAACUCAUGAAUAAGCACCGGCUAACUACGUGCCAGCAGCCGCGGUCAUACGUAGGGUGCAAGCAUUAUCCGGAGUGACUGGGCGUAAAGAGUUGCGUAGGCGGUUAUGUAAGCGAAUAGUGAAACCUGGUGGCUCAACCACACAGACUAUUAUUCGAACUGCAUAACUCGAGAAUGGUAGAGGUAACUGGAAUUUCUUGUGUAGGAGUGAAAUCCGUAGAUAUAAGAAGGAACACCAAUGGCGUAGGCAGGUUACUGGGCCAUUUCUGACGCUAAGGCACGAAAGCGUGGGGAGCGAACCGGAUUAGAUACCCUGGUAGUCC